GGAUGCACCGAUUUCAACCAAGAAGCAAGUAAUAAUAUAUUUCACAGUAUUAAAGAAAUUGAAAGAAAUCGACAAUAAUUGUUGCUGGAACAGCAAGGAAGCCAUGUUAUUGAAUAUGCUAGACUGGAAAUGAUCGAUUUGAAAAAGAAAAGCCAUAAUGAAGCACGUGCACAGUAUUUAUCUAUGUUGACCACUAGUUUAGACUGCUUUGGCAAUCUAUCUGGACAGCUUUGCGUUCAAAAGAGAUACGAUAGAUGAUUGAACGCACCCAGUGUGAACGCCGUCCAAAACAUGUGUUAUGUCAAAAUGUUUGAUAGCGCCAUAAGUAAAAUAAAGUACAUUUCAAGAAAAGAAAGAAUUUAAUUUCAAAACAAACCGAGAAGACGAUGUGUUAAAACUUAUCUACAAAAGUGAGCAAGGUUUCGCAAAUUGUCUCAAAUACAUCAGUAUUGUCAAUUUAGAUUCGUCAAAAAAAAUCUAUCCCACAAUUCGAUCGACAGUUGGAGGAUGCCCAGAACUUCAGCGUCUAUGUAAGAUUUUCGGGAAUGAAAAUCAAAUUGAAAUCAACUAAAGACUUGACUAUACCGGAAGGAUAUGCGGUAGAGGAACGGGUAAUUGUAUGAACAAAAUUCUAAACUGGAACAUCAAUGUUAAGACGUGGAACUUUUUUCAUCUAAUUACCCGUACCACUACCGCAUACCAGUCCGUUGUGGCCAAGCCUUAAAUCUCGUCGAGAACUUUGCAAAUUUAAAUAUGAUUCACAUUAAAAAAAAAAAAAACAAAACAAAAACAAUCUAAACUUGACAUUCUGGAGCGCAUUUAAACGCCCAACCUGAAAGCCACACAAAGCCACGUUCGAAAAAUGUAUUCGAUGGUGCAAUCACGUUUCCAAAGCAAUAGAUAGCAUUCCUAAGUCUUUACCAAGAAAUAAAGACGCACAGGCUUAUCUAGGAACCUCAUUUGGAUGGAAUAAGUUAUAAAUAUGUUGCACCAAGAAAACGUUUUCAGUCAAUGGGUAAUUUGAGUGGUGGUGAGAAAACUAUUGCUGCUUUUUCUGUGUAAUUUACAACCUGGUCCAUUUUUGUUGCAUCUAUAAACGAGAUCACAUCACAAUGAACCAUCAAACUAUUGUCAUUUCGCUCAAAGAGAAGUUUUAUGUGCAUGCUGUUGCUUUAUUUGGAAUUUCACCAGCUGUGAGUUCUUAUCGAUGGAACAAAACGUUUCGAUGGAGAAACAAAUUUCAGCCAAGGCGCAAUAACAAUUGCUAAUUAAAAUUAUGUGCGUUUCAAUAAUCCUGCCGAAGCUCAACUUAUACGCUAUGCCU